CCUACGGGUGGCAGCAGUCGAGAAUCAUUCACAAUGGGGGAAACCCUGAUGGUGCGACGCCGCGUGGGGGAAUGAAGGUCUUCGGAUUGUAAACCCCUGUCAUGUGGGAGCAAAUUAAAAAGAUAGUACCACAAGAGGAAGAGACGGCUAACUCUGUGCCAGCAGCCGCGGUAAUACAGAGGUCUCAAGCGUUGUUCGGAAUCACUGGGCGUAAGGCGUGCGUAGGCUGUUUCGUAAGUCGUGUGUGAAAGGCGCGGGCUCAACCCGCGGACGGCACAUGAUACUGCGAGACUAGAGUAAUGGAGGGGGAACCGGAAUUCUCGGUGUAGCAGUGAAAUGCGUAGAUAUCGAGAGGAACACUCGUGGCGAAGGCGGGUUCCUGGACAUUAACUGGCGCUGAGGCACGGAGGCCAGGGGAGCGAAAGGGAUUAGAUACCCGGGUAGUC
rnacentral:rRNA from 1 species